GAUGAACGCUGGCGGCGUGCCUAAUACAUGCAAGUCGAGCGAACAGAUGAGGAGCUUGCUCCUCUGACGUUAGCGGCGGACGGGUGAGUAACACGUGGAUAACCUACCUAUAAGACUGGGAUAACUUCGGGAAACCGGAGCUAAUACCGGAUAAUAUAUUGAACCGCAUGGUUCAAUAGUGAAAGACGGUUUUGCUGUCACUUAUAGAUGGAUCCGCGCCGCAUUAGCUAGUUGGUAAGGUAACGGCUUACCAAGGCAACGAUGCGUAGCCGACCUGAGAGGGUGAUCGGCCACACCGGAACUGAGACACGGUCCAGACUCCUACGGGAGGCGGCAGUAGGGAAUCUUCCGCAAUGGGCGAAAGCCUGACGGAGCAACGCCGCGUGAGUGAUGAAGGUCUUCGGAUCGUAAAACUCUGUUAUUAGGGAAGAACAAAUGUGUAAGUAACUAUGCACGUCUUGACGGUACCUAAUCAGAAAGCCACGGCUAACUACGUG
rnacentral:rRNA from 1 species